rnacentral:lncRNA from 1 species
CCCUCAGCCCCCACACACCCAUCUCCUUCUCACAGCAGCCGACCACCACAUCCGAAGACCAGCCUCUUCCUCUUCCCCCACAAACCAGCCACCCCAAGACUCGACACCGCCUGACCUUCCCUUCUCCUCCGGCCGUUGCUCUCCCUCUCAGCCAAGACAGACCGAGCAGCCCCCCCACAAACCAAGCCACCGCAGCUCUCCUUUUCCUUCCUUCUCCCACAGCAGCCGUCGCCUGGCCAGCCCCCAUCCCCCGUUUUGGAUUUUUUCUCUUCUCCCUCAACCGGACAGCCGAUCUUCCCGACCCUCACAAAUCAGCCUCACCGAACCCCACUGACCAGACGAUUUUUCCUCCUCCCUUGCCCUCUGCCAAACACAAACCAGGCCACACCCUUUUUCUCCUUCACCGCAGCUUCAACAGCCCCAGCUCGCCAAGAUCGAGCCGGCCGCCCCCUCACCAGACCUUUGCUCCCCCAACCUUUUCCCUUUGGCUGCUCCUUCUCCCUUAAACCAGCCACUCGAAGAUCCCACUCAAUCGUCCCUCUCCACCGCCAGAAGUCCUCUGCCUGCCUCAACGUCGGCCACAGGAGAAAGAGAGGAGAAAUGAGCCGAAGCUUGAGGUGGUCUCUUCACCUUGCUUAAUCCUCUGCCUGCCUCACCGCCAGCCGAAAGAAGAAAGAAGGGUCGGCGAUCUACCCGAUCCAGUGGGUAACCGACCGCACGAGUCGCCGGUGAGCCACUCAACACUCCCCAACAGAUCUGCUAGCCGAGGAAGAAGGAGAGAGAAGCAGAUCUAAACAGAUCUAAGGAGAGAAUCGACUGUGUUGUUGCGUUUUUGUGUGUUUUGCAGGUGAAGGUGAUCUUCACCGCCGACGAGGAAAAGAAGAGGGGAAGAAGUCGAUCCAGACCCCUGCUGCUUUUUUGUUUCUUGCGGCGGCGCGUGAACCCACGCGCCGCCAGUGACGGUGGCGCGUGGAGAAGACGCGCCACCAUGAGUUCUGGCAGUUCCAGAGGGUCCUCAAUGCAAUUUCGGGAGUUUUAGGGACUGUUUUUGUAAAUUUUAAAUUAUGUAAUGUAAUUUUUGUUUAGUGUUGAAUUUUUUUAAUUUGUAAUGUGGAUGUAACAAAAAAAAAGAAAGAAAAAGAAAAGAAAAGAAAAAAUAUAGUGAAAGUGUAUGUGUGUUUGUAUUUUUUUUAUGUAUGUUAUUGAGAUAAAAAAUGAAUUUAAUAUUUUAAUUUAUAUGCUCAAAUAUCUAAAGGACAGAUAAAAAUCAUGUAUUUUCCAUAAAAAUGUAGAACAUGUAUCUACAUAUAUUUUGGGAACUAAUAACUGAUUUAUCGAAGCCUUAGAAUUGGGCUAAAAUUUUUAUUUUUAAAAACACAUCAAGUCCACGAAGCAGCUUACCUCAGGUAGGGUGCGUUAGGGGUGCUAAUACCUUCCCUAACCACAACCAGUCCCUUACCUAUGAAUCUCUGACAAGAUCAGUACAUUCGGUUUCCUAGUAGCCCGCAAUCAAUUACUAGGUGGCGACUCCAACGAACCAAUCAAAUCAAAUCAAACAUAACAAAUGAAAAAAUCGCCAGCCGAUGCCGCGCUGAUUUUUUGACGUGCGACAGAAUGGCGACUCCACUGGGGAAGGUAUUGUUUUCAACACUAUUGGACUAAGCUUUGUGUUUUUGAUGCGUUUAUGUUUUUACAAUUUUGUCCUAUUUUAUUUUUUGUUUUAUCCAUGCAUUGUAUAGAAUUGUCUCAUGCAUCACAUGUUUUAAUUUUUUAAAGCACACACAAGCUUCAGGUUAGGAGGGGGACUAGCAGCUUACCUUAUGACUUUUAGUCAAGGUUUAAGUUUGUGUAAACCCCAACUCUUCGUUGAGUGCUUAGACUGGUAAUAGUUGGACAUGUGCCAUCUCAUUGCCUACAAGCCCCCAUAUUGCCUCCACGAGGGCAAUCACUGGGACAACAAGAGACCCUUUUUAGAGACCAAGUAGUAAACCUACCUUUUGUCUCACUUAAAAAGAUUAGAACCUGCCUUUAUGAUAUGUGCUCCGUAUAUAUUGUUUUGCAUCAAGGCAAACCCUUCUUGAAGCAUCUUGAACUCAAGACUUUUGGGUGACCCAAUGGCCGUCACUCAGGAAAUUUUCAUUGUAGAGUUUGGGCAAGAAUCAAGAUUCUUGUUUCAUCAUACAAGAGUUACGACCAUAUGUCACCCCUCGAAAGGCGAGUUCUUCAUAUAGUUUACAUGUUCAUACAUCUAUCAUGCAUGUACCGGGAGGAAAAAUAGGUUCCCCUGUCCGAGGUUUACUACACUGGAUGGAAAAGGAUGGAUAAUAAAGAAAAGGGUCAGAGAGAAGCACAAAAUCAAAGGAAAGUUGAGAGCAUCAAAGGUGAAGUAGCUAGGCUCAGAUCUGCCUGAACAAGUGUUGAGCAUCAAAUGGAAAGAGAAUGUCUGCACAAUCUUCUGUGGAAACACUGCUUGUCCACGUCCAAGUGAAGCUGCACCUCUCCAUUUCAGUCCUGAACAACAAUAGCAAUGCCUUCAGUCAUCAGCUAAUGACAACUUUUGUUUUUGGUCAGCUGCCCUGUUAAUUGUUCAUCGCCUCCACAUCUUUCAAUGGUACCAAAUAACUGCUAGCCUUCUGUGCAUGGUGUAUUAGCCUUCUUUGACGUUAUCCCAACUGUUAGUUCAAUUCCAGUUCAGCAGCACAAGAUGUAAAAAAAAAAAAAAAACAAAAAAAAAACCUCGAAAAAAAAAAAAAAAAAAAAAACUGAAAAAAAACCAUGAUUAGACACUGAACUUCUACGUUGCAGAGCUCUCUCUGUAGAGAUUCGUUUGUGGCUCUGCAAGUGGGGAAUGCAAGAGGGAAUGUAGUAUUUUCAUAUGCUACAAAACUUUGCCCCAUCAAUUUCAGAACCGAAACACUGGAGUAGGCAGAAGGGUCACACCUGGUCUGAAAACAUGAGCCGUCAUUAAACUUCAACGCGGCAGAGCUCUCUCUACAAAAAUCUGUUUGUGGCUCUGCAAGUGGGGAAUGCAAGAGGGGAUGCAGUACUUUCAUAUGCUACAAAACUUUGGCUCAUCAGUUUCAGCACUGAAACACUGGAGUAGGCCGAAGAGUCAGACCUAGUCUGAAAACAUGAGCAGUCGUCGAACUUUGACGUGGCAGAGCUCUCUCUACAAAAACCUGUUUAUGGCUCUGCAAGUGGGGAAUUCAAGAGGGGAUGUAGUAGUUCUAGACAAUGUGAAAAGUUACCCCACCAGCUUCAGCAUCGAAACACUGUAGUAGGCAGAAAAGCCAGACUUGAGCUAGAAAACAGGAGCAAAUAUAGAACUUCACCGUGGCAGAGCUCUCUCUGCAGAAACCUGUUUGUAGAUCUGCAAGUGGAGAAUCCAAGAAGGGAUGCAGUAGUUUCUGAUCAUCUAUAAUUUUCUCUCAUCGGUGUUAGCUUGAAAAUGCAAAAGAAGGGAAAAGAGACGGCUGAAAAAUAGAAAGAAGAUUGAAACUUCAACAGAGCAGAGCUCCCUCUACAGGUGUCUGUUUGCUGCACCAUCAGUGAGGAAUCAAAGAGCAGACAAAGGAGUUUUAGAUUCAUCAAGUUCUCUUCCAGUUUUGACAAUGUGUGAUUCCACACGUCGGCAGUGGCAAUGCUGCAAGUCUCCGGGUGCUGCCAAGAUUACCUAGCUACUGGAAGGUUUCCAACAAUCCACAAACGACCACAACAACAUUGAAAGAAUGACAUGAUGUUGUGAAGAUCAUCGAAAGAAUUAAGCUAGCUAUGAAGAUGAGAAGGAUUGAAGGUUCUGUCAAGAAUUCCAGAACAAUGAUGAGAGAUGAAUCAGGAGAUGACUCUGAAGAUGAGAAACCAUAGUUACUUGGUUUAGUCAAGUCUCACUGUAGCACCAGCUACUCAAGUGUCUUUGCCAAGAUUGACAUCUUUCUGCCACCCAAGUUGGACUACUAGCAUCUGUCAGAUUCCAGACUUUUUGCCUGACUCUGUUAAAUCCCAUGCAACCACUGUUUCUUAUGUGAUAUAAUCCAAACAGGAGAUUUGAAUAUCAUGGGGGGAUUUCAGGCCAUUCAGUUGAAUAAUUGCAAGAAUCGAGUCCGCAAAUUGGUGAGCAAAAGACGAGAGGAAUCUGUGAAGGAGCUUGUCAUUGAUCAUUUUGUCGCCAGAACAUCCUCAGAAUGACGAGUGAUCGAAAUUGCUCGGUAAACACAGAUAUUGCCAGAAUAGUUGAUCCAAGAAGGGCGUUGAACUGUCAAUCAUGUUGUUAUGGAAUUUUUGCCAUUCUGCAUUUUGUUUUGGGGUCACAUCUCAUCCUUGAACGAAACAUGUCUUUUCUUUGUCUUUUUGUUGUUUUGAAAUCAAGAGAUGCUUCUUUCAAAGGGUAUUUUGACAAAAAUAUUUUUUUGAUCAAACUCCAACAUACAAAAUUAAAGCUAGUCAAUCCUGAAGAUUAAAAGUGUUUUGAUUGCGGAAAUGACUUUAUGCUUGAAAAUGACAUGAGGUGACCAAACAAUUUUGAACUCAUAUCUCCUGAAACUGAACAACACAUCAUAUAACUAAGUUUUAGCAGUAUGCAUAAUGACAUGUAGUGGAUUCGGUAGUUAUGGACUCGUGAAUCAUGACUCUUACAAGUCCAAAUCAUUACACUGGAUGAGGUCAAAAUUUAUCGAUUCUAACCGACCUUGCUUGAAAUGAGAAAAGGCCAUCUUUGUUAUCCUUUCACAUUUCUUGAAAUAUUAUCCCUUGCAGUCCCAUUUUGAGCCUGGUAAAAUAUUUUCUUUCAAGAAAACCCUGACUAGGAUCACACCCUACACCGGGGCAAAUGAGAGAUAUUUUGAAGACACUGAUAGGAUUGAUGAAUAAAAGAAAAGACUUAGAACAAAAGCCCAAUGAUUGAGAAAGGGCUAGAACAAAAAAGUCAUAGAGUGAAGGGCAUCCAAGAAAACUUUGAGAAAGGCUAUGUAAAAGUAAAAAAAAAAAGUGGAAAUGAAGGAGAAUGCCUAUCAAUUCUAAGAGGGGCAAAAGAGGUUUCAAUGGAAGAAAGACACAACAAAUGCCAAAAGUCAACACCAAAAAAAUCAAGUUUCAUGUCUUUUGGUGUGUCUAGGAUAAAGCCUUUAGUGUCUUCAAAAAAAUUUUAGAUUCAUUAUUCAUCAGAGAAAAAGUUGGAUUAGCAUUAUGACCUAUGUUAAGAGAAUUCUGAUCUUUGAGAUUAACAGGGUUAUAUGUCACUUUCUCCACAACGACAACGAGAAAGAGAGUUGAUGAAUAGUUGAUGUUGAUCCUAGGUCGUUGAAACCCUCAAACACCUUUUGAGCCUGUGAAUUUCCCUUCUUUCAUAAGCCAUGAACCAUAGCCUGUAUUACGUGCUUUUAAAAGCCCUUUUUAAUCAAGUAAGCAAUCUGAACCGAUAAAUGGCGCUUCAAAACUUGAAGAGCUUUUCCAUAAGAGUCAUAGCUUCAUGGAUUAAGCUACUGGUUAUUAUGCAUGCUGACAAAAUUGGUAAAAAAAAAAAACAAUCUUUCUUGAUGAAUCCUCAAGUUUUGACUUGAGUCUUUUGUUUUUUGAAAUUCACAUAAAGGUCACCUCAUCACAAACCAUCAAAAGAUAUACCCCAAAAUCAAAGUCUAAAAUGGAUACAAAGAACCAUGAAAAAAGUCAUUUUAAACUUACAAUGGGUCAUUUCUGUUUUCAAAAUACAAGACAAUCAAAGGACUAUAUUGAAUAGUGUGUGUUGGGUCUUUGACAAAAAAGCUUGAUUUUCAAAAGAUCUUUUCCAAAACUGAUAUCUCUUUGAUUUCAUUUCAACAAUUAGACUUGAAUUGACAUGAUCUUUGAAAUAUGAGAUUUGAUUCCAGAACAAGAAAGAUUGUCGAACAAUGAAGAACAUCGAGUGAGUCUGCGAAAUAUUUGACAUGAAAUGACAUCAACUCUUCUCAAUACUCCUUGAAAAAUUGAGACACCUGGAGGCAAUACAAUGGAUCAUGGGUAUGAAAACAAACAGUAUUCAGAUCAACUAGGGGCAAUGAAAGAUGAUCAAAUGAUGAAUCAAUGCACUGAGGACAACGGUGUUUAAAGAAAUGCUAAUCAGCAGAACAAGCAUUCAGAUCAUUAUUGGGGGCAAUGUUGUUCAAAAACAUUCCAUGAUCUAGUGAACUCUAGCAGCAAUUGAAAACAACACUGCAAUUAAGGGACAACCUCGUAUCUUCAUCUUGGGGUUACCCUUUGAAACAUGGCUAUGAAAAAUGUUAUCGCAUCGUUGCAUUGGAAUGAAUGUCAGAAAGAUGCACACCACCAAGAUUGACUGUGGGACCAUCUAUUCUGAAGCUCAAAUGUGCACUUCACCGUAUGAAUAUGGGUGAUAACAUGAACAUCAUUGAUGAUGUCGAGACAUUUCUUUCCACUAUCUGAUUUGACGAGCUGAGAGGAAUCCAUGAGAAAGAACAUUGAGCAUACAACGAUGAGUCUUUCACUGCAAGCUAUGAGAUGCAUGUCUGGACGACUGGAUGAUUUCCAUGAAGACUGAUGAUAACAUAUACUUGAAGAGUAUUGUUUCAACUUGAGGAAAGUUUAUGACUGAUUAACAAUCUUGAUGGGUGUUGGCAUGAUGCACACAACCAAUCGAAAGAUAAUUUUCAGAAGAAUCUAGGAGAGAAAAUCCUGCAUGAUGAAUCAAGCAACACCGCACUUGGGGGCAGAGUCAAGCUUGAUAAACCACAAGAGCAGUAACCGUCGAAGACAGCCCAGGAUGUGCACUGCACUUACAACUGAGUGGAUGGCUAGCACAUGAAUGAGCCAAUGCAUCGAAAGAACCAAUAAAGCUUUGGAAUGCAAACAAAGGCACCCUGUGAUGAUGGAACAUCGAAGAGGGGGGACCUAUAUUUCGAAUCAGGUAAGGAGGCAUGCAUGUCAGCUAACGUUAAAACAUUGUACAUAUUUUUUAUUUUGUUGCAGGAAAAAUCCUCAAUGUAGUUUAGCAAGAUUGGGGACCAAAAAAAAAGAGAAAAAAAAAAGAAGAAUCAUUGAGCUGAUAAUAACAGAGAAUCAUGGUUAUGACCUUGGAACGGGAAGAAGAUGAGAUAAGCCUUACUGUUAGGAAAAUCUCAAAGAAAUGAAAAGAUCAACCUUGCAAUCAGGAAGCAUCGAUUUUUCAAACCCUGCGAUCAAGAAUUAUCAAGAAGCACCAAGUUUUCCGGCCCUUCUUCUAUCAUCCCUUCAGGACUUCGCCAGGUAAGUCCCAUUUUUCACACUUGUCACAUCACAUCUUUCAUUUGGGUAGGUCACCCAUAACAAUGAGACCAUUUCACAUUUUUUCUAUCCUCCACAUGGGUAGGUCACCCAUAAUAAUGAGACCGCUUCAUAUUUUUCUCAUCUUCCAUCUGGGUAGGUCACCCAUUACAAUGAGACUGCUUCAUAUUUUUUCUAUCCUCCACCUGGGUAGGUCACCCAUAACAAUGACACCACUUCACAUUUUUUCUAUCUUCCAUCUGGGUAGGUCACCCAUUAUAAUGAGACCGCACUUCACAUUCUUUCCGUUUGGGUAGGUCACCCAUCAUAAUGAGACCGUUUUCCACAUUAUUUUUCUUGGGUAGGUCACCCAUACAAUGAGACCAUCAUUUUUCUUGGGUUCGUCACCCAUACAAUGAGACCAUCAUUUUUCUUGGGUUCGUCACCCAUACAAUGAGACCAUCAUUUUUUCUUGGGUUAGUCACCCAUACAAUGAGACCAUCAUUUUUCUUGGGUUCGUCACCCAUACAAUGAGACCAUCAUUUUUCUUGUGUUCGUCACCCAUACAAUGAGACCAUCAUUUUUCUUGGGUUCGUCACCCAUACAAUGAGACCAUCAUUUUUCUUAGGUUCGUCACCCAUUACAAUGAGACCAUUUGUUCCACAUUCUUUGUUUUGGUUUAAUGAGGUCGCCAGAUGGGAUCUCAUGUAGCUUUGGUUAAAGGGAAUCGCCAGAUGGGAUUUCAGGUUAACCGAGUUACGUAACAUCUUUUAGUUUUGGUUUAAUGAGGUCGCCAGAUGGGAUAUCAUGUAGCUUUGGUUAAAGGGAAUCGCCAGAUGGGAUUUCAGGUUGACCGAGCUACCACACAUUUUUUAGUUCCAGUUGAAUGAGGUUGCCAGAUGGAAUCUCAUGUAGCUUUGGUUAAAGGGAAUCGCCAGAUGGGAUUUCAGGUUGACCGAGCUAUCACACAUUUUUUUAAGUUCAAGUUGAAUGAGGUCACCAGAUGGGAUCUCAUGUAGCUUUGGUUAAAGGGAAUCGCCAGAUGGGAUUUCAGGUUGACCGAGCUACACACAUUUUUUAGUUCCAGUUGAAUGAGGUUGCCAGAUGGAAUCUCAUGUAGCUUUGGUUAAAGGGAAUCGCCAGAUGGGAUUUCAUGUUGACCGAGCUACCACACAUUUUUUUAAGUUCCAGUUGAAUGAGGUCGCCAGAUGGGAUCUCAUGUAGCUUUGGUUAAAGGGAAUCGCCAGAUGGGAUUUCAGGUUGACCGAGCUACCACAUUUUUUAGUUCCAAUUUAAUGAGGUCGCCAGAUGGGAUCUCAUGUAGCUUUGGUUAAAGGGAAUCGCCAGAUGGGAUUUCAGGUUGACCGAGCUACCACAUUUUUUAGUUCCAAUUUAAUGAGGUCGCCAGAUGGGAUCUCAUGUAGCUUUGGUUAAAGGGAAUCGCCAGAUGGGAUUUCAGGUUGACCGAGCUACACACAUUUUUUUAGUUCUGGUUAAAGGGGAUCGCCAGACGGGAUCUCAGGUUAGCCCAACCACACAGAUUUUUGUUUUUGGUUCAAGGAGAUCGCCUGAUGGGAUCUCAGGUUAAAAAAAAAAAAAAAAAAAAGGGGAAAGAAAAUGAAAAAGAGAUAAAGAAGGAAAGGAGAAGGAAAAAAGAAAGAAACAUUUAGAGUUUUUCUUUACAAAGCUUACUAUGCGAAACAUUGAGGAGUUUUGCUUCGUAAGCAUUGUAAAGAGGGGGCAUCUGUUGCUACCCAAUUUUUGACCCAUGUUUUGAUAAAUUUUCAGAAAAAUCCAAAAACAACGAAAAACAUUGAAAAUCCAAAAAAUACAUUUUUAAUACAUUUGCAUCAUUUUUAGCAUUUUUCAGCGUCGUCUAAAAAGAAUUUAAAUUUUCCAAGGUCUUUCGAACGCGUUCAAUUUUUAACGCGUUAAUUUUAAAAUCAUUGAUUUUCCUUAUUGAGUCGACGUUGAUAUUGCUCGCUUUCAAAAAUACAAAAAAAUAAGAAAAAUCAAAAUUUACAAAAAAAAGAGGAAAAGAGAAGGAAAGGAAAAGUUGAGGGACUAGUUUGAAAACAUAGCAAAACGUUUCCUAUAAAUAUCAUGCUACACUGAAUUUUUAAGGGGGGGCAAUUUGGCAAUUAAAGGGGGCAACAAAAAGAGAAACCCUAAAAAGCUUAUUAGUUUUUCUUCUCCCUCACCCGGAGCCGCCACCCCCCAUCCGGAUCAGAUUUUUAUCUUCUUCUCCCUCACAAGGCUGCCCCCUCCCUUGGCCAAAAAGAAGGAGAACCAAAGCCACAGGGACUUCCCUUCUGCCUCUCUCCAUCUCACUGUCUUCUCCCUCAACCGGCCCCUCAGCCCCCACACACCCAUCUCCUUCUCACAGCAGCCGACCACCACAUCCGAAGACCAGCCUCUUCCUCUUCCCCCACAAACCAGCCACCCUAAGACUCGACACCGCCUGACCUUCCCUUCUCCUCCGGCCGUUGCUCUCCCUCUCAGCCAAGACAGACCGAGCAGCCCCCCCCACAAACCAAGCCACCACAGCUCUCCUUGUCCUUCCUUCUCCCACAGCAGCCGUCGCCUGGCCAUCCCCCAUCCCCCGUUUUGGAUUUUUUCUCUUCUCCCUCAACCGGACAGCCGAUCUUCCCGACCCUCACAAAUCAGCCUCACCGAACCCCACUGACCAGACGAUUUUUCCUCCUCCCUUGCCCUCUGCCAAACACAAACCAGGCCACACCCUUUUUCUCCUUCACCGCAGCUUCAACAGCCCCAGCUCGCCAAGAUCGAGCCGGCCGCCCCCUCACCAGACCUUUGCUCCCCCAACCUUUUCCCUUUGGCUGCUCCUUCUCCCUUAAACCAGCCACUCGAAGAUCCCACUCAAUCGUCCCUCUCCACCGCCAGAAGUCCUCUGCCUGCCUCAACGUCGGCCACAGGAGAAAGAGAGGAGAAAUGAGCCGAAGCUUGAGGUGGUCUCUUCACCUUGCUUAAUCCUCUGCCUGCCUCACCGCCAGCCGAAAGAAGAAAGAAGGGUCGGCGAUCUACCCGAUCCAGUGGGUAACCGACCGCACGAGUCGCCGGUGAGCCACUCAACACUCCCCAACAGAUCUGCUAGCCGAGGAAGAAGGAGAGAGAAGCAGAUCUAAACAGAUCUAAGGAGAGAAUCGACUGUGUUGUUGCGUUUUUGUGUGUUUUGCAGGUGACGGUGAUCUUCACCGCCGGCGAGGAAAAGAAGAGGGGAAGAAGUCGAUCCAGACCCCCUGCUGCUUUUUUGUUUCUUGCGGCGGCGCGUGAACCCACGCGCCGCCAGUGACGGUGGCGCGUGGAGAAGACGCGCCACCAUGAGUUCUGGCAGUUCCAGAGGGUCCUCAAUGCAAUUUCGGGAGUUUUAGGGACUGUUUUUGUAAAUUUUAAAUUAUGUAAUGUAAUUUUUGUUUAGUGUUGAAUUUUUUUAAUUUGUAAUGUGGAUGUAACAAAAAAAAAGAAAGAAAAAGAAAAGAAAAGAAAAAAUAUAGUGAAAGUGUAUGUGUGUUUGUAUUUUUUUUAUGUAUGUUAUUGAGAUAAAAAAUGAAUUUAAUAUUUUAAUUUAUAUGCUCAAAUAUCUAAAGGACAGAUAAAAAUCAUGUUGUAUUUUCCAUAAAAAUGUAGAACAUGUAUCUACAUAUAUUUUGGGAACUAAUAACUGAUUUAUCGAAGCCUUAGAAUUGGGCUAAAAUUUUUAUUUUUAAAAACACAUCAAGUCCAC